CUUCAAUACCAAUCGUACUGAACCUGACGACCUCCUGCUCUCCAAAACGCUGAAACCCACAAAUCGGACGGUACAACUAAAUCGGUGGUGGCGCUCACGGCGGUUUAGCGACAGUGGUCGGAAGCAAGGGGUUUUGAUGAAUAAUGAGGUUCUGAUUCCAUUUUUGGUCUCGGAGGUGGCCGGAGACGACAAAUCGACCCUUGCAAAUCCCAGAUUCUGGCGACGACAAGUACGGCAUCGGUGGGCGAUGAAACUUUUGGGUUUUCUUCUCCAUUGCUUGCUGAGUGCAGCAGUGAUGGCGAUGUGGUGAGGAGAUGACCGGAAACCGGUGAGGUUCGUGGAACAGUGGCGUCGCAGGUCGCGUGGAACAGUGACCGGAAGGUCUUGAUCGACGACGAAAUGAUUUGGAGGUCACUAGGGAAUACAAUAUAUUGAACCAAAUGAUUUGGUUCAAAAAUUCGGGUCUGAUGCGGUCAGGUACUUCUUCGUUAGGGAGGUGGAAUUUGGUGGUGAUGGGGAUUAUUCAGAAGAUCGUUUCAUCAAUAUUGUCAAUGCUCAUCUUGCCAAUUCAAUCGGAAAUCUGCUUAACCGCACUCUGGGGCUUCUUAAGAAGAACUGCCAAUCUACUUUGGUAAUUGAUUCAAGUAUCGCAGCUGAAGGAACUACAUUCAAGGACACUGUGGAGAAGUUGGACCUUGUGAUAAUACUAGAAGCAAUGAGGGUUAUAGCUAUUGCAUUAUCCCCUGUCACACCAAGUUUAAGUUGGAGAAUAUAUCGACAGCUUGGCUACUCAAAGGAUCAGUUUGAUGCUGCUACCUGGAGUGACACCAGGUGGGGUGGGCUUAAAGGUGGUCAGGUCAUGGCUCAACCUCAACCAAUAUUUGCAAGGAUUGAAAGCCAAACAGAAGGAGAAAAUAGGGUCGAAGCACCCAAAAAGGUGCAAAAGGAACAAGUUACCGGAGUCUCAAGAGGUGGUUGAAGCUUAAAGAUUCAUUCCUCGAAUCCCUCUCUGCCUGUCGUUUCAUUUUUGGUUUUCCCCAAAAAACUAUAUCGGAUCAACAAAUUACUCAGCACCUUGUUCUGCUGUUAAGAUUAAAUCCAUUUUGUGUAAUGAUUCUAUCAUAUUCUUGACAAUAUGCUUUCCCGCAAGUAAUUAUGUCUUUUCUAGGGAAACUAGUAUUUGCGGAAA